rnacentral:rRNA from 1 species
UACAGAGGUCUCAAGCGUUGUUCGGAUUCAUUGGGCGUAAAGGGUGCGUAGGUGGCGCCGUAAGUCGGGUGUGAAAUUUCGGAGCUUAACUCCGAAACUGCAUUCGAUACUGCGGUGCUUGAGGACUGGAGAGGAGACUGGAAUUCAUGGUGUAGCAGUGAAAUGCGUAGAGAUCAUGAGGAAGACCAGUGGCGAAGGCGGGUCUCUGGACCGUUCCUGACACUGAGGCACGAAGGCCAGGGGAGCAAACGGG